AGUCUGCAACUCGACUGCAUNAGGCCGGAAUCGCUAGUAAUCGCGGAUCAGAAUGCCGCGGUGAAUACGUUCCCGGGUCCUGUACACACCGCCCGUCACACCAUGGGAGUCGGAAAUGCCCGAAGCCGGUGGCCUAACCGAUAAGGGAGGAGCCGUCGAAGGCAGGUCUGAUGACUGGGGGUGAAGUCGUAACAAGGUAAC
rnacentral:rRNA from 1 species